rnacentral:rRNA from 1 species
CAAGGAAUAUUGCCCAAUGGACGAAAGUCUGAGGCAGCAACGCCGCGUGGAGGACGAAGGCCUUCGGGUUGUAAACUCCUUUUCUGGGGGAAGAGAAAGGACGGUACCCCAGGAAUAAGUCUCGGCUAACUACGUGCCAGCAGCCGCGGUAAAACGUAGGAGACGAGCGUUAUCCGGAUUUACUGGGCGUAAAGCGCGUGCAGGCGGCUCGUUAAGUCGGACGUGAAAGCUCUCGGCUCAACUGGGAGAGGUCGUUCGAAACUGGCGAACUUGAGGGUGGUAGAGGAGAGUGGAAUUCCCGGUGUAGUGGUGAAAAUGCGUAGAUAUCGGGAGGAACACCAGUGGCGAAGGCGGCUCUCUGGGCCAUUCCUGACGCUAAGACGCGAAAGCUAGGGGAGAGAACGGGAUUAGAAACCCCGGUAUUCCUAGCCGUAAACGAUGUCAACUAGGUGUAGGGGGUAUCCAAUCCCCCUGUGCUGAGUCAACGCAUUAAAGUUGACCGCCUGGGGAC